UACAGAGGUCCCAAGCGUUGUUCGGAUUCACUGGGCGUAAAGGGUGCGCAGGUGGUUUGGCAAGUUUGACGUGAAAGCCCCGGGCUUAACCCGGGAAUGGCGUUGAAAACUGCUUGAACUGGAGGGUUGGAGGGGGGACUGGAAUUCUUGGUGUAGCAGUGAAAUGCGUAGAUAUCAAGAGGAACACCAGUGGCGAAGGCGAGUCCCUGGACAAACCCUGACACUGAGGCACGAAAGCCAAGGGAGCAAACGGG
rnacentral:rRNA from 1 species